AAAAGUGUGUAAAUUUGGUCUAACUUCUCAUCCAACUUAAAUUUUGUUUAUUACAGAAUAUUUAAAUAUUUGUAUUUCUGUUUAAUGUUGUACACAUAUGUUCUUCAAAAAAGUAAUGAGGCAAUUUAUAUAUUAUUCGUUUAAUGUAAGUUAUUUUUCUUUUUUUACAGAUAUUGCGGUACAAUAGAAAAGAAUCAAACAUUUUCGCACUUUUUCGAAAUGAAUUAAUUUUGUUGAAUUAUGAAUUUUGAUCCGUUCCCGUUUAAAACAUUCUAAAAUGCUAUAAUAAUGCGAAUAUUUAAAAAUAUUAAUUGUGAGUAAUACAGAGAGAUCGAUUGAAGAAUCUGCGAUUAGAAUUACGGAGGGUUUCUUACGAAAUCCUGUGUGGAGAAAGGGAGACCGUCUUCAUAUACGAAUAUAUUCCGAGGAACUUAUAUUGCAUUCCAUUUGUGGGGCGUGCUUUGCAGCCGGACU